GGGGUUGUGAGUUCGAACCCCAUGUUGGGUGUAGAGAUUACUUAAAAAUAAAACCUUUAAAAAAAAAUCAGGAGAAUGAGUAAUAUGUUGAGGACUUAAAUGUGUCAGGCCCCAGGUUAAGAACUUCAAUAUCCUUUGUCUCUUUCCAUCUUCACAACAGCCCUGUGGGGAAGAUCACUAUUGUGGAGAUAUUAUUAUGGGGCUAAUAAUGGGUCUGUCAUUAUCUCCAUUUCGCAGAUGAGGAAACUGGGUCCCAGAAAGGUAAAUAACUUUCCCGAGGCUAUUCAGCUGAUAACUAGCGGAGCCAGGAUUCAAACCCAGGAUGAUCUUGUCUCCAGUGCCCUUGAUCCCUGAUACUUAGCAGAGAAAGCAAUGGGAUGAAGAUGUGUCAUGACCCUGGACACAUAAGGAAAUACAUCAUGGGCACUCUCUGAGGGCAGGUUCCUUGAGGAAAGCAGGCCCUCGUCACCAGAGUGAGAUCUCCUCCCAGCCGGGGAAUGGCCUUGAAGAACCACAGCACACACUCACAUGUGUCAACCCGGGUCCCUAUAAAGCCACACUUGCCAUGAUCUCUCCACUCUACACCCCACCAUCGCACCCAGCUUGCCCCUUGGCUGGCAGCAGGUAGCCACGAGAAUUAAAUGAGGGCCAGCACAGGCCAGCUCCCAUCCCCUCUUCCGAUGCCCUCAGACCACCUAUUCUCACUCAGCUGGAUUCAGAUCCUGAGGACACUGAACAUACCAAACAUUUAGGAUAUUCACCCCCUGGUCCCUCCCACCUCACCUCAGGCUCAGACCACAGAUACCCAACUCGGCAGCGGGAGCAUCAGGGGCCAGGCCUAGUUCUACUUGUGGAGUGGGGUAAGUCACAUGCACUCUGGACCUCUCAGGUUUCUCACCCAGAUUUGGAGGUGGAGAUGACCUAGCAUGCUUUUCCCAAAAUGUGGGGGCUGAGGGAUACAAGAACCACAGCAGGCUCAGGGUCCUUUUGUAUAAUGCUCCACUGCCCAGCAACACCCCCAAGGCCCUGGCAUGAGGUUUGGGAAAUGCAGAGGAAGUGAGGAAGUGAAAUCUGGCCUCUAACUGGCUUUGAAGCAGGGUUCUAGUAAGCUCGUUUCAUUUUCCCUGUGGUUUCCACAAGAAAAUGCAAAGUAACUUUGCAAUGAAAGUAAAAAUGCAGAAAAAAACAAAAGGUAUGAAGAUUAAAAAGCAACAUCAUUACUCUGAGAAAACACAGAACGGACUAGGACUACUGCUAAAGUUAUAUAAUGGCCCCUCUUUAUCAAAUAGGACCUUAUUAGAUUGAAGACUCAGUUACCACAUAGUUAUUAUCCCCCCCAAAUAUUCAGUGCAGAUUUAAUAAAGACAAACUGCCUUGAUGACUUACAUAGAG